rnacentral:rRNA from 1 species
UACGUAGGGGCAAGCGUUGUCCGGAUUUAUUGGGCGUAAAGAGCGUGUAGGCGGCUAGGUAGGUCCGUUGUGAAAACUCGAGGCUCAACCUCGAGACGCCGAUGGAAACCAUCUGGCUAGAGUCCGGAAGAGGAGAGUGGAAUUCCUGGUGUAGCGGUGAAAUGCGCAGAUAUCAGGAAGAACACCCGUGGCUAAGGCGGCUCUCUAGUACGGUACUGACGCUGAGACGCGAAAGCGUGGGGAGCGAACAGG